rnacentral:misc_RNA from 1 species
GGAAGACCUGUAAAAGAAGGAAUAAAUGCAUUACUUUCAUGUCCAGGGAUUACUGAUAGAAAACCACAAAUAAACAAAAUAAGGUAAUGAAUAUCAACUACUAGAAACCUAUAUAUGACAAGCAUUGGGUAUUUGGGAUGUAGGCUAAACAGGAGACAUCAAAGCAGCAAGAGUCUAAGAAUUGCCUGGACCACAGCAAUCGCAACACUAGUAUAUCCCAAAUUGUUUUUGAGGCUUUGGGUAUAAUUGCUCCUAUAUUAAAUGUUGGAAU